rnacentral:rRNA from 1 species
UGGGGAAUCUUGCACAAUGGGGGAAACCCUGAUGCAGCGACGCCGCGUGAACGAUGAAGCCCUUCGGGGUGUAAAGUUCUUUCGACAGGAACGAUAAUGACGGUACCUGGAGAAGAAGCUGCGGCUAACUACGUGCCAGCAGCCGCGGUAAUACGUAGGCAGCGAGCGUUGUUCGGAGUUACUGGGCGUAAAGAGUGCGUAGGCGGCGAGCCAAGUUUGGUGUGAAAUCUCCCGGCUUAACCGGGAGGGUGCGCCGAAGACUGGGAAGCUGGAGUGUGGGAAAGGCAGGCGGAAUUCCUGGUGUAGCGGUGAAAUGCGUAGAUGUCAGGAGGAACACCGGCGGUGUAGACGGCUUGCUAGACCAUAACUGACGCUGAGGCACGAAAGCGUGGGUAGCAAAC